rnacentral:rRNA from 1 species
AACGAACGCUGGCGGCAUGCCUAACACAUGCAAGUCGAACGAGACCUUCGGGUCUAGUGGCGCACGGGUGCGUAACGCGUGGGAACCUGCCCUUAGGUUCGGAAUAACUCCCCGAAAGGGGUGCUAAUACCGGAUAAUGUCUUCGGACCAAAGAUUUAUCGCCUUUGGAUGGGCCCGCGUUGGAUUAGCUAGUUGGUAGGGUAAAAGCCUACCAAGGCGACGAUCCAUAGCUGGUCUGAGAGGAUGAUCAGCCACACUGGGACUGAGACACGGCCCAGACUCCUACGGGAAGCAGCAGUGGGGAAUAUUGGACAAUGGGCGAAAGCCUGAUCCAGCAAUGCCGCGUGAGUGAUGAAGGCCUUAGGGUUGUAAAGCUCUUUUACCCGGGAUGAUAAUGACAGUUCCGGGAGAAUAAGCUCCGGCUAACUCCGUG